AACGAACGCUGGCGGCAGGCCUAACACAUGCAAGUCGAACGCAUCGCAAGAUGAGUGGCGCACGGGUGAGUAACACGUGGGAAUGUAUCCUUUGGCUCGGAAUAACGUCUGGAAACGGACGCUAAUACCGGAUGAGCCCUUAGGGGGAAAGAUUUAGCGCCGAAGGAGCAGCCCGCGUCUGAUUAGGUAGUUGGUGGGGUAAGGGCCUACCAAGCCGAGGAUCAGUAGCUGGGCUGAGAGGAUGAUCAGCCACACUGGGACUCGAGACACGGCCCAGACUCCGACGGGAGGCAGCAGUGGGGAAUAUUGGACAAUGGGCGCAAGCCUGAUCCAGCCAUGCCGCGUGAGUGAUGGAGGCCUUCGGGUUGUAAAGCUCUUUCGCACACGACGAUGAUGACGGUAGUGUGAGAAGAAGCCCCGGCUAACUUCGUGCCAGCAGCCGCCGUAAAAC
rnacentral:rRNA from 1 species